UAAUAGGUAAAGGUGUCCCUCGUCCCUCCCACGCUCUCCCUUCUCUCCCAACGAGCCAUCGGGAUCCAGCGAGCGGACCGCCCUGAGAUGGAGAACCUGAGCUUUCUUUUGCGGGAGAGGCUUGAAGGAAUGGCGAGCCGGGCGGUUACAAGCCUGGUGUCGGCGUUCUUCUUCGCGUCCCUAUGGCAAGUCGGUUUUAGUUACUUCUUGAUUUCUAGUCUGGUUUUAGGGUUAUAUGUUCUUGAUUUCUAGUUUGGUCUCGGGUUCUUUGGAUUCUAUUGAUGGCUUUGGGUUUCAAGUUCGGGUUUGGUUGGUUCUUGAUUUGUGGUGAUUUCCGUGUUAUUUCGUGUCCUAGCUGUGAUUUAUCGGGUUCUAGUUUUGUGAUGAUCGGACUGAUGAAAUUAAGCUUUAAUAAAAUAGAAUCAUACCUCGACUCGUUAAAUCCAUCUUGAAUCUUCGAGAUGUGUGAAGCUUGAUCCGCAACCACCAUCAACGGCAAACAGUAAUUGUUUCUGAUUUAAUCAGAGAUGACCAGAAUGGUCUUUCUGGAGAGAGAAGUCCUAUAUGUCUGUGUUUGGAGAAGGGGUCCCCACUGGCUAUUUAAAGCCCUCUCCAUAGACCAACUGCCAUAGGUGGUUAUACCCGUGAAGAGUCACCCCACCCUGCCAUAGGUGGUUAUACCCGUGAAGAGUCACCCCACCCUGCCAUAGGUGGUUAUACCCGUGAAGAGUUUACGAAAAUUCAAGAGACACUUGUCAAUGGGGGCUUUAACUAAAUUGGAUCCAACAUUUUCCUACUUGGACUAUAUGGACACCACUUGUCAAUGUGGGUCACAACUUGACGGGAUCCCUACAUUCUCCCACUUUGACCAUAUUGACAAGUGAAAUAUUCUUAGCACUUGAAUUUUAUAUUCUUUAUACGCGUAUUCUUUCUAUUCUGAUAUCAAUUUGGGCAAACUUUAUGUUUGACUACUUUGAGAAUAAUAAUACGAACCAUGACGGAAAUAGCACCCAGUUGAUUGGCGUAUAACCUUCUAUGAUCACUAUAUCAUGAAACCCGCAUAGCCAAACCCUUAUGAAUGAAUUUUUUAUGAAGUCUAUUCUUUGGUCAACAAUUUAUGCUACCAUAGUAUGCAUACACUAUAUGCAUUCAUUAAAGCAGAAAAUACAACAAAUAUGAUUUACAACCAUCCAAAAUGUGCAAUAUAGUACAUCAAUCAAUUUAUACAGAAAGGCCCAUUUGACUGACAUGCUCCUUAUGCAAUUCCGGGGCCAUUGCUUUGGUCAAAGGAUAUGCCAACAUAAGCACAGUAUUUAUGUAUUAAACUGAAACUUUAUGGUCAUCACAUUUUUCCUUUAUGACAAGAUAUUUCACCCCCAUGUGCUUAUUUCUAUUGAUAUUUUGUUAUUCUUUAUUGAAAAAACUGCUGCUAAAUUAUCACAAAAUAAUUUUAUGGACUUUGAAAUAGUAUCAAUGACCUGUAGGCCCGUGAUAAAGUUUCUCAGCCAAAUAGCCUGUGUAACUGUAUCAUAGCAUGCCAAUAACUUAGCCUCCAUUGUUGAAGCAUUGUUAUCUUUUGCUUUGCACUCUUCCACGAAACUGCAUCAGUAGCUAGUAGAAAGAUAUAACCUGAUAUUGACUUUCUACUAUUUGGACAUCCUGCAAAGUCUGAGUCUUAGUAUCCAACUAUCUCCAAGAGAUCAUAUUUGUUGUGUGUAAACAUAUGAUCUUGGGUCCCCUGAAGGUAUCUCAAUACUUUCUUAGUAGCUCUCCAAUGUUCUAUAUCUGGAUUAGCUUGAAAUCUUUCCAAUAAUCUCACAACAUAUGCUAUAUUAGGUCUGGUACAGACUUGAGUAUACAUUAAAAUCCCAAACAGUGAAACAUAUAUAAAUGCUUUCAUAUGCUCCCUUUCAAUUUUAUUUCUCGGAGAUUGUGAUUUACUUAACCUUUCGCCCUGAGCAAUAGAUACUGGGAUUGGUUUAAAAUUUUUAAUACCAAAUCUCUCCAACAUUUUCUUAAUGUAGGCUUUUUGAGAUGGACAAACGUUUUUCUUAGAUUUAUCUCUACGAACCUCAUUGCCGAUGACAUAUGAGGCUUCACCCAUAUCCUUCAUAUCAAAAUUGCUGGAGAGGAAUUGCUUAGUCUCCCUAAGCAAUGCCAAAUCACUCCUAGUAAGUAAAAUAUCAUCUACAUAUAGGACUAGAAAAAUAAAUCGACUUUCACCUAUCUUAAGAUAUAUACAUCUAUCAACAACGUUUUCUACAAAGCCAAACGUGGAAAUGACGUUAUUAAACUUAAGAUACCAUUGUUGGGACGAUUGUUUGAGUUCAUAUAUAGACUUAUUUAGCUUGCAAACCAUAUGACUCUGUCCUUUUGAAACAAAAUUUUCAGGUUGUUUCAUGUAAACUUCUUCCUCUAAAUCACCAUUAAGAAAAGCAGUUUUCACAUCCAUUUGGUGCAGCUCUGAAUCAAAAUGAGCCACCAAAGCCAUUAUUAUCCUUAAAGAGUCCUUUGAAACUGGAGAGAAUGUCUCAUGAUAAUCAAUAUCCUCUUUUUGAAUAAAUUCUUUGGCAACAAGUCUGGUCUUAUGUCGAUCUACCUUGCCCUAGGAGUCUCUUUUGGUUUUAAAAACCCAUUUGUAGGGUAUUGCAGUAGCCCUAGGAGGUAGUUCAACUAGAUUCUAAACAUUACUUUUAGCCAUAGAUCUAUCUCAUUUUUCAUAGCAUUUAGUCAUUUGGAGAAAUUUACUGAAUUUAUGGCUUGUGAGAAAUUUAUUGGAUCAUCGACAUUUCCGACGUCCUAAUCGCAUUCUUGAAGGUAUACUAUAUAAUUUGAUGGAAUUGGAGAUCUUCUUAUCCUUGAUGACAUUCUUAAAGUUGCUUCUUGAUCCAUUGGUUCUAAAGUUGGAGCAACAUUCUCAGUGAUAACUGGCACAGAUUCAAAUGGAACAUUAAUAUUAGACUCAUCCUUCUCUAAAUCAUUAUUCAUGAUAGGUGAAGGAAUCAUUGAUUGCUCAUUUGAAUCUUGCACACCAUACAGAGUUCGCUCUUUGUCAAAAUUAAUUUCUUGAGGUUUUAUACUCCCACUGAUUUGGUCAUAUUUAAGGAAUUUAGCACUCCUUGUCUCCACAAUCCGCAAAGUAUGAUUAGGACAAUAAAAUAUGUAUCCCUUGGACUUUUCUGGAUAACCAAUAAAAUAACUACUAAUGGUUCUAAAGUCCAACUUUUUCUCUUGUGGGUUGUACACCCUAGCCUCAGCUUGACACCCCCAAAUGUGGAGAUGUCUUAAACUAGAUUUCUUACCUAUCCAAACUUCAUAGGGUGUUUUUGGAACAGCUUUAGUAGGAACCCUGUUUAGAAUAUACACAACGGUUUUUAAGGCAUCACCUCACGAAGAAAUUAGGAGAGUUGAGUGACUAAUCAUACUUCUUACCAUCUCCAUUAAUGUUCGGUUUCUUCUUUCUGCAACUCCAUUUUGAUUAGGAGUACCAGGCAUAGUGUAUUGUGCAACUAUACCUUGCUCUUGAAGAAAUCGAGCAAAUGGACCUAAAUGUUGUCCAGUUUUAGUAUACCUACCAUAGUAUUCACCACCUCUAUCUGAUCUCACGACUUUAAUCUUUUCACCAUGUUGUAACUCUACUUCUGUUUUGAAAAGCUUAAAAGCAUUUAAUGCCUCGGCCUUGUCAUACAACAAGUAGAGAUACCCAUAGCGUAAGUAAUCAUCAAUAAAGGUGAUAAAAUACUUAUGAAUGGUAAAACAUGGGGUCAAAAAAGGCCCACAUAUAUCUAUAUGUAUAAGAUCCAAUAAACUUGUGCUUUUUAUGACACCUUUUUUAAACUUGCUAGUCUGCUUUUUAUUGAUGCAGUCUAAACAAGUUUCAAAAUCACCAUAGUCAAAAGUUGGUAAAAUUCCAUUAUUUACUAAUCUCUUGAUUUUUUUAUGGAGAUAUGCCCUAAUCUUCGGUGUUAUAACAUAGAGGAAUUUUCAUUUACCAUGCUACGCUUUAAUCCACAAUAUUUUUUAUUUUGCAGGGAUAAAAGGGAUAAUUCAAAAGAUAUAUCAAGGUCUAAUUUAAAUAAGCCAUCCUCUAAUAAGCAAUUAUUAACAACAAUAUUAUUGAAACAAAGGUUUACAAAGGAUGGUCCAAAUGAAACAGUGUACCCAAAAGAAACAAGUUUGAAAAUAGAUAUUAAGUUUCUAGAAAAUCCAGGUACAUAAAAGGUAGUUUCUAGGUAUAAACUGUAGCCAGUCUUUUAAGAUCAAUUUGAACGUUACAACAGUUUCCACAUGUGAACGCAUCUUGUUUUCUAUAAUGAUGCUUUGUUUACUUUCCGUUGGAAUUCUUUUGUUCAACAAUCCCUUCAAAGUUUUACAUAUAUGGAUAGUAGCACCAAAGUCAAUCCACCAUGUGUUUUGAGGUAUAUCAACAAAAUUUGAUUCAUAAAAUACUAAGAAAAGAAAGUAUAUUUCUUCUCGAGCCAUUUCUUGUACUUGGUGCAGUCCUUUUUCAAAUGUCCCUGUUUCCUACAGAAGAAGCACUUUAUUUGCCUUUUGUCAGUCACUUUGGUUGACACUUUUAUUUUCUUCUUCUUAAUAGGAAUAUGAUGACUGGAACCACCAACCUCCUUAUAUCCUUUUUCCUUAUGAGAGGUGAGAUAAACACUUUCUUGCCUCUCUUGCUUUAUUCUCUGCUCCUCAUCAACACACAUGGUUAGAAGUUGAUUCAUAGUCUANNNNNNNNNNNNNNNNNNNNNNNNNNNNNNNNNNNNNNNNNNNNNNNNNNNNNNNNNNNNNNNNNNNNNNNNNNNNNNNNNNNNNNNNNNNNNNNNNNNNNNNNNNNNNNNNNNNNNNNNNNNNNNNNNNNNNNNNNNNNNNNNNNNNNNNNNNNNNNNNNNNNNNNNNNNNNNNNNNNNNNNNNNNNNNNNNNNNNNNNNNNNNNNNNNNNNNNNNNNNNNNNNNNNNNNNNNNNNNNNNNNNNNNNNNNNNNNNNNNNNNNNNNNNNNNNNNNNNNNNNNNNNNNNNNNNNNNNNNNNNNNNNNNNNNNNNNNNNNNNNNNNNNNNNNNNNNNNNNNNNNNNNNNNNNNNNNNNNNNNNNNNNNNNNNNNNNNNNNNNNNNNNNNNNNNNNNNNNNNNNNNNNNNNNNNNNNNNNNNNNNNNNNNNNNNNNNNNNNNNNNNNNNNNNNNNNNNNNNNNNNNNNNNNNNNNNNNNNNNNNNNNNNNNNNNNNNNNNNNNNNNNUAUGCAUGCUACAAUCACACCAAAACCUUAUCUAAAUUACUAACCCAUAUUAGCAAUUUAGUGAGCAAAUCAAAAAUUAACUUUACAUGAUUUACCCCUUUAUGAUAAAACUAAUGCAUUAAGUAUGAUAAUUAAUGAAGAAUUGAAGGCCUUUGAGCAACAAGAUUUCAACUUAAAUAUCAUACUAAUAACAUUAUUUCAUCCCAUCAUUAAUCUUCUAUAAUGACUUUCCUUUGGGGCCGGGUCAUUAUGUAUAAUAGUGUUCAAUUUCAUGAGAUGGUGAUAAAAUGAUAAAAGCUUUUUUAUUGAUUAAAUUAAAGCAUUCAAAAAUUUAUGGGAUGCUUUGCCUCGUCACCACAAAUAUACAAAAAAUUUAAUCAUCUUUAUAUCUUUUUCUACAUAAGAUGCUUUGGCUUGUCUUAUGCAUGUAUCACCCCUUUAUCAUGAAAAAAUGAACAAUUUAAAUAAUUAUGAUCCAUCAUAAAAAUGGCCUCUAAAUGGAUCAUUUAUGCAAUAAAAUUCAUUACAGGGAGCAAUACAUAAUUAUCAGAGUACUAUUCUGUAAUGAAACUCUAGUAAAGGAAUAACAUAAAUAUAUAUUUGGACCUUUAUACAAUAAAACUUUCUCAUAGGGAUCACAAAUAAUUUAUGGAAGACCCUUCCGUGAAAUAACAUACUUUUAGGGGCUUAACUAUAAAACCCAUAUAUUUGGCCAACCACAUGCGGGUUUCGGGUUUGACCCAAAACCCGAAGCCUGUUAAUGCUUUUUUCUUCCUCACGAUGGAAAGGAGGAGAAGGGGCCAAACCGGUGACCCCUCUUGCCUAAACGGCGGCGGCGGCCGCCUCCUCCCACGACUUCGAUAGCCCAAACCACGCUGGCGGGCGCUCGCCGGUGGCCUCUCCGGCCACAUGGGAGGAUGAGGGGAAACAACGGCGUGAAGACCCGUCCCUCCCCUUCUCCUUAAAAUCCCACGGGAAGAAGACCCCUCCCCCUUCUCUUUGCAUGGUGGCACGGCCAUUGUUAUCGCCAAUUCCUUCCGAACGGACCAAGCAACGGCAAAACCCAUGAACCCAUGAAUAUUUUCUUCCUGAAGAUGACGUUCAUGGGUUUCAUUUCGUAAAGAAAAUAUGCCCAAGGAGAAUAGGGCUCUGGUGUGACCAACGGCUAUCCCCACUCCUUUCCUCUAUUCUCAAACUCCUAUUAAUAAAACUACUCUAACUCGUACGCCGAUCCAGUCUUGUUUCCUAGGCACCCAACUCUAACAAAAGGAGUGCUUGCCUUGUAACCAGAGCGUAUGCAUAUAUGAAAUGUGGGGCCCCGACUCAUGGUGAGUGGACGCUCCUCUGCAAGGCGCCAGUACUGGUUUUUUAAUUCUUUGGUGGGAGUGCCAAGGGUGAGGGACAAGCCUGGCCCGCAUAUGCCACUUGGAUGCUAUUAACGGGGUGAAGGGCUUAGUCCCAUAUCGCCUAGACAAGAUUAAUUUCACUUCCUUAAGUAACUUGGGCAAGGGGACUCAUCCCCAAAUAGGAGUUUAGUCCCACAUCGGUUGGCCAAAAUAUUUUCGCAUGUUUAAAUAACAUGGAUUCUGUAAUGUAAUCCUGAUAAUCGAGUUUAACAUGGAUUCUCUAAUCAUUAUGAUUUAGUCUACUCUCAAUGCGGGUUUGAUCUAUUUUUAGGAUCUAAUCCUAAUCCCGCUCUGAUACCAUUGAUGAAAUUAAGCUUUAAUAAAAUAGAAUCAUACCUCGACUCGUUAAAUCCAUCUUGAAUCUUCGAGAUGUGUGAAGCUUGAUCCGCAACCACGAUCAACAGCAAACAGUAAUUGUUUCUGAUUUAAUCAGAGAUGACUUUGGAGAGAGAAGCUCUGUGUGCGUGUGUUUGGAGAAGGGGUCCCCACAGGCUAUUUAAAGCCCUCUCCAGAGACCAACUGCCACAGGUGGCUAUACCCGUGAAGAGUCACCCCCCCAUCAAGAUGAUUUUUCACCAUUGUGAAAUUCCAUUUAUGCCCUCGUGAUUAUCAAAAUUUACAAAAAUUCAAGAGACAUUUGUCAAUGUGGGCUUUAACUAAAUGGGAUCCAACAGGGACUUUCCCUCUGUGAUUUAUUAAAUUUCUUGGUGGUUUUAAUGAUUUAUUUUCGUUUUUAGAGUUUGUUUUUAUGCCAAUUUUAAUAGAUUUGGCUGAAUGGUGUUAUAUCAUUUUCCUUAUAAAUAGGUUGAUAGAACUAACUGUUUCUAUGAUUAUAUAAAAAUUCCCUUGGUCUAUUUCGAUUGAAUUGUUAGCAUGUCUAACUGUUCUGCAGGAAUCAGAGUUGAAAAAGUAUCUAGUCUCUUUGAGAUAUUCUUUUAGUGAUUGAGGAGGUUUUACUUUCUUGUUGAUCUGUCUUUCAUAUUAUUCUCUGUUUUCCCCUUGAUUUCCAACUAAUAUUCUUAGAAGGAUGUUUCUUUUCAAUCUGUUGACAUGCUUUGAUCUUAAUCAUAUUAUUCUCUGUACGCGGCCCUGCGGCCUCCGCCGCACCCCCGCGGCGCUCCUUCUCCCUCCCUUCCCCAUAGUGAAUCAGUUUCAAAGCCGGAACUGUACCGAUAGGCCACCAACACAGUUCGGAACGGGCGGGUUCCUUGCUUUGUAUAUCUGCUUAUUUUAUUUUUUGCAACUUCUGUUUUACAUUUUCUUUGUUAUUCUUUUUGGUGUCUACUUUCUGUUUGCUUUGUCUUUAUUUCUGAUAUUUUCUGUUUACAAUUUUUUGCAUUCUUUUUUAUUUUUUGAUUUUUAAUAUGUUAUUGCUAUCUAUUUUUGCAUAAUAAUGUUUUUAGUUGAGUGUAAUUUAUUUUAUUUGUCUGUGAUCUGCUUUCAUAUAUUUGAUAUCUGCUCUCAGGUAAAAGCCACUUUGCUCUCAGGUAAAAGCCAACAAUUGUAGUACAGUUUUUGGUAAUAUCUGCUGAGAAGUUUUAAUCAUAUAUUUUGUUUUCUUUUCACUGAUUAAUAGUUCUUGAUGGUUCAGCCCUCAAAGCCUAUGGUUCAUAGAACUUUGUUUUUUCAGGGAAAGGUUCUUGAAACUUUAAUUGCUGAAACCUAUCUUUGUAAAUGAUUGUAGAUAUAUAGUAGAAUCCCACUCUUAUGGUCUAACUGUGAUAUUAAUCAAAUUUCUUCCUAUCUGAUGAUCAGUUCUGACUUCACAUUACCCAUUGCGCGCGCUUGUUUCUUUGCCUUUUUAUUCUUCCAGAUAUUGAUGAUGUUUGGCCAGAGAUCAUACCAAAAAUCAAGUUUGAUUCUUUCUUCAGAAUGCUGGUGAUUGAGUUCUAUCAUGAUAUUUUUUUGUGCUUUUGGGAACCUAUUUACCUUUGAUUUUGUAAUCCUUUUGUAAUCAUGAUUCAUAUGAAAUCUGAACUUUUACGUGCAGUUGACACCUUGCUUAAGGAUGAGUAGAGGUAACUGAAGUUAUAAAUCUCAUAAUAAUCAUCUGAUCAUUUGAUUUAAAUAUAAAUGGCACUUAAUAUUUUUUUGUAGGAAUUGGUCCUGUUGUUGUGCGGAUCUUGUUUGUUCAUUCCCUAGUGGGUUUCUGAGAUAUAUUUGAGGUCGAUAGACCUAAUUGAUUUUCUGCUCCUGUAAAGAGUCAUCUAGUUUCUUUUUCCUCCUCCUUUUGUUGUCACAUGCCAUUUUUAACUUUCUUGUAGUUUUUUUCUAAAAUUAGUAGAGUAAAAAUUUUAUGGCUUUAUUUUGUUAACAUGGCUACAAUUAUACAGCAUGUGAAAUUUCUUGCAGGGAUUUGUAAAAUGGAUAGAAGGAAUUUUUCUACGAGCUUAUUCUCACUUCAGUUCAUGCACAUUAAUUUUGGUCUUUCCUUCUACGCUAUCAUCUUGCAGAUCUUUUUUUAUUUUUACCAUCAUCUGUCUUUGAUGUUGUUGGUGGGGGGCGCUCUGCAUGGUUGCAACUGCUGUCCUUGAGAGGGAUUUCCUGUUUGAGACUGAUCUGGGGUUUUCUACAUGGAUAUCUAGUGGUCCUUGCAAGGUUAUAAGGGAAGAUAAUGUAUUUUUCGCUCUUCUGGCAGCAGUAUAUUUUAUUCUUCUGUAUGGCAUGAUAGUGGUAAUUUCUAAGUUCUCAUAUUCUUGUUCAUGUCCAAAAUGCAGAGAUUAUGGAUGAUGGUGGUUCCUGUUGCUUGCCUGCCACCUCUCUAUUUUGUGGUAGUCAAGGUUGUGGUGUACUAUAUCUUUUCAAACAGCCUUAUGAGUGGUAAUCUUGAAUGAUAACUAUCCUCCUGUGCUGUCUUUCCAGUUUUUCUGCAUUUCUUGAAUUUGUCUGUGCCAUGAUAUGUGACUUCUUCCUUUUUUAUAUGUGGUGGGAGGGGGGUUGGGGGACGUAUAGUUAUAUAUGCAUUUCUGUGCAGACAAUUUAGGUUCAAUAUUUUGAUAAAGUAUUUUGAUAUCUAAUUUACCUUAAUUAAUUAUAAUAAUAUCUAUGAUGUUCUAUAAAAAUUGUCUUUCCUUUUAGAAUGCACUUUUUUUUGCUGGGUUACUAGUAAGAAAAGAAAGCAAUAAAUAUACUAUAAAAAAUGACAUUGUUUUGGCAUUAAGGUACUAUUUGUGCUUACUAAGCUUUUGAAAUUUUUAUCCCAUAUCAAAUAUGAAUGCUGGAUUGAAUGCUAUAUUGACACAGAAACCACCAAGAUCUCUAUGUUUAUUUAUUUGAUCUUGUCUUCUAGGGAUUUCUCUGAUGGACCUGGUUAUUUUUGUUUGAAUCAAUUCCUAUCUCACUUGUGAGAUCUCUUCCUGUGGUAGUGUCUGGGAUGGAUAGAGGACGUGGAGCUAAAAAAACUAUGUACGCAAAAUCAUCUGGGUUUUCUACUCAAUUAUAUACUGAUUACAAACAAUUGGUGCUAUAUUUUUCUCUAGGGGCUUUUGAGAUGAAUAGUGGGAAUCAGAGUAGACAUCUUUUCGAGAAUUGAUUGGCUCUAUUUGUUUUUGUCUCUGUUCAAACUUGUCGACAAGAGUUUCCCAAAAUGGAUGAAACUAAUUGUUGCUGUUUCUUCUCAAUUUUUUUUUUUUUGCUGCAUGAUGUUAGAGCUUUUGUGCAGGGUUGUUUCAUAUUAAUUUUUUUUUGCCAGUAUUUUCAUUAGAUAGUAAGGUUAGUGUCCUUUACUAUAUCAUAUUUCUACUGCUAUUGUGUUUACCUGUCUUUUGUUGUUCAGGUGUUCAAACAUAUUCCUUUUCUCUGUGAAGUUGCAACAGAUAUUCUUGAGGUAUUUACUUUGAUGUGUUCACGCUUUUCAGAGUUUGAUUAUUCCUGUGCUAGUGGUUGAUCUUUUAAAUUAAUCUUUUUCUUGAACCUUUUCUUUUGGUUAUUUUGAUCUGUCAUGAGCAUGGAGUUCCUAUCACUGUGUCAUAUACCAAAUUAUUUGAUUCUAUAUGAUGGAGCAGCCAUUGGUGAGUGGAAAAAUCGCACUCAUGUAUUUGAUUAGGAAUAGUUUGGCAUCUUUGUUCAAAGUUCAAACUCCCUGAACAAGAAUAUGUUGUGUCUGACAGCCAUCUAAUUGCUCUUGUGGGGCAAUCAGGCUCCUUUAGAAGGGAUCACAUUGAAUUCGGAAUUAGAGGCUACAUGUUGCAUUUUUGUAUCUGGAAUAGUUAAGAGUUUUCAUAAUUUGUUAAAGAACUAUUUGGUUUUGUUUGAGAACCUUCUAUUUGAAUUGCAAAAUGCAUGUAGUAAAACUAGUUUAAAAAUAUUAUAGUGACAUUAAAUUAAAUAUUUUGAUAUUCUGUAAUACUUCAAUAUGCUGCUAUAAAA
rnacentral:lncRNA from 1 species